rnacentral:sRNA from 1 species
AGAAUUUCUUAAACAUGGUAUGGGUUGAAAAACCUUAGGCCGUGUUUGUGAGGAACGAUGUUCGCGGAUGGACUGACCUUGGUACCAGAUGUGUUCUGGGAACUCGGUCGGAUCGUCUACGAGCGUCACAAGUAACGCUUCCGGAUUCGUUCUUAGUCCUAAAACGGUUCGGGGGUGUUACAGCAGGAGGUGCAAUUCCUUUCAUCUGGCAGUGAUCCCUUGGUGCAUCCCGAGCACCAAUGUUUGCAGGGCCAUUCUGUUGAUUUUGUUCGUCAGCCAUUUGGAGUGGUUGCUGGGGUACAAGGUUGACAGUGUUUCUCCUUUCUCUGAGUUCGCGAGCUAUGCGGUCAAUGUUAUCGUUGAACAAGAGGUUCUGGUUGCCUGUUGAUCGAGUUUGCAUACAGCAGAGGUGUACUUGGAUCAAGAAGACAACAAGAAAAACACACAGUUAGUAACAU